rnacentral:rRNA from 1 species
UACGAAGGGGGCUAGCGUUGUUCGGAAUUACUGGGCGUAAAGCGCGCGCAGGCGGCUAUCCAAGUCAGUGGUGAAAGCCCGGAGCUCAACUCCGGAACUGCCAUUGAAACUGUUUAGCUUGAGGACGAGAGAGGUGAGUGGAAUUCCCAGUGUAGAGGUGAAAUUCGUAGAUAUUGGGAAGAACACCGGUGGCGAAGGCGGCUCACUGGACCGAGACUGACGCUGAGGCGCGAAAGCGUGGGGAGCAAACAG